rnacentral:rRNA from 1 species
AUUGAACGCUGGCGGCAGGCCUAACACAUGCAAGUCGAGCGGUAGAGAGAAGCUUGCUUCUCUUGAGAGCGGCGGACGGGUGAGUAAUGCCUAGGAAUCUGCCUGGUAGUGGGGGAUAACGUUCGGAAACGGACGCUAAUACCGCAUACGUCCUACGGGAGAAAGCAGGGGACCUUCGGGCCUUGCGCUAUCAGAUGAGCCUAGGUCGGAUUAGCUAGUUGGUGGGGUAAUGGCUCACCAAGGCGACGAUCCGUAACUGGUCUGAGAGGAUGAUCAGUCACACUAGAACUGAGACGCACUCCUGACUCCUACUGGAGGGACCCUUGACGAAAUUUGGACAGUUGUCGGAAACCUGAUCCAGCCAUGCGGCGUGUGUGAAGAAGGUCUUGUGAUUGUAAUGAACAUAAUGUUGGAAGAAAGGAGAGUAAAUUAAUACUGUGCUGGUUAGGCGUGACCAACAGAAUAAGCCCCGGCUAACACUGUG